GUGCAAAAGCCAGCAGAGCUGAGUGGAUACAUCCUCCCACCCUGACGGGGGCUGACCAGGAGACGCUUCGACAGCAGCCACCAUGGGUUUACUUCAUCUCCAGUACAGAUAUGCACUUCAUGUCGAGAGAGGACUGUACAUUUCUUCACCAAGAUACCCCUGUUGCAGUACACCAUGAACAUCUAUGCGCAAGUUGGAAUAAAAGGCUGCUCUGCAGGACAUGUGGUUGUCAUGACACAGCCUGUCUCACUUUGGUGUGGCCUCAGCGUGUUUAAUCGUCCUGUCGUCAUAGCGUCGACCGAACUGUUUUCAAGUGACUGAAUGCUGAAGUUCCUCACUCGAACCUCACUCCUGGCUCAGGAUGUCAUAUUCAUCAACUGUAUUCAUGUCCUAUUUUGUAUGUGCACAAAAAGAUCACAGGGUUGGGUCAAAGUCCUUUCUGUAUUUAUAAUGUCUCUGGUUGGCUGCAUAAAGCUAGUCAUGACUUGUGUCAUUGGAGUGACAGGUAUGAAAAACCCGUGCUGUUAUCAUGAAUAUCUGCAUGGUUAGAAUGCUUUUCAACCAAUCAGACUGGGAGACUGGAACUAAGAAUUGUAUAAAUGAUGGUAGCCAACAGUAAUUAACAAUAAUCAACAAUCAAAUUCUAGAAGCAUGUCAAGAAUUUUAAAUCAUCUAAA